GGAAUUGUUCACAAUGGGCGCAAGCCUGAUGACGCAACGCCGCGUGGAGGAUGAAGGUCUUCGGAUUGUAAACUCCUGUUGCUCGGGAAGAAUAGCUCCGACCUAAUACGUCGGAGUGUGACGGUACCGGGUGAGGACGCCCCGGCUAACUCUGUGCCAGCAGCCGCGGUAAUACAGAGGGGGCAAGCGUUGUUCGGAAUUACUGGGCGUAAAGGGCGCGUAGGCGGCCUGUUAAGUCGAACGUGAAAUCCCCGGGCUCAACCCGGGAACUGCGUCCGAUACUGGCAGGCUUGAAUCCGGGAGAGGGAUGUGGAAUUCCAGGUGUAGCGGUGAAAUGCGUAGAUAUCUGGAGGAACACCGGUGGCGAAGGCGGCAUCCUGGACCGGCAUUGACGCUGAGGCGCGAAAGCCAGGGGAGCAAA
rnacentral:rRNA from 1 species